AAAAGUUAGUUUAAUAAAAACAUUAAUUUGUCAAAUUAAAAAUAUUGAAAACAAUACUUUUUA
rnacentral:tRNA from 1 species